rnacentral:rRNA from 1 species
GAUGAACGCUGGCGGCGUGCCUAAUACAUGCAAGUAGAACGCUGAAGGAGGAGCUUGCUCUUCUGGAUGAGUUGCGAACGGGUGAGUAACGCGUAGGUAACCUGCCUGGUAGCGGGGGAUAACUAUUGGAAACGAUAGCUAAUACCGCAUGACAACAGUUCUUGCAUGAUAACUGUUUAAAAGGGGCAACUGCUCCACUACCAGAUGGACCUGCGUUGUAUUAGCUAGUUGGUGAGGUAACGGCUCACCAAAGCGACGAUACAUAGCCGACCUGAGAGGGGGAUCGGCCACACUGGGACUGAGACACGGCCCAGACUCCUACGGGAGGCAGCAGUAGGGAAUCUUCGGCAAUGGACGGAAGUCUGACCGAGCAACGCCGCGGGAGUGAAGAAGGGUUUCGGAUCGGAAAGCUCUGUUGUAAGAGAAGAACGAGUGUGAGAGUGGAAAGUUCACACUGUGACGGUAUCUUAACAGAAAGGGACGGCUAACUACGUG